rnacentral:lncRNA from 10 species
CGAGAUCGCGCCACUGCACUCCAGCCUGGGUGACAGAGCAACACUCCUCAAAAAAAAAGAAAGCCUUUCAGGUAAUGAGCUCAGCACAGAGCCUAGGGCAUACGUGGUAGUCAGUGUUUGUUCUUACUAAGUGGCUUCCAGCAUGGGACCCCUAGCAUAGGUAAGCACUUGGUAAAUAUAGGUGGUAAAUGAAUGAACUCACUGAUCUGAGGGGCCAGGUCUAUUUAUAUGUACCCCUACCUGGUCCCAACACAAGGGCCCAAUCCAAGCUGCUUAUUUGUGCAAAGCCAGAUAUGAGGGUUACUUUCUCUUAGUCCACAGGAGCUCCUGGCCUUGCCAACCUUCCAUGUGUAACCUCAUGCUGGCUGUUGAGACAAGCUGGUUCCCACCCCAGACCUACUGAUUCAAAGUCUGCAUUUUCACAAGAUCCCCAGGUGAUUUGCUGGCAAGUUAGAGUUUGAGAAGCACUGACCUAAUCCAAGGCUUUAAGUUUUACUUAAACUUGCUGCGCUGGAGCCAGCAGAGGGCAGUGCAGGAGCUUGCCUGAGCCGCCUGAAGGCCAAGGGGAAGCAACUUAUCCUGACACCUCAGUUCACAAGAGUAUACUCAUGACUGGAAAUUGAGGCUAAUUCUGGAGUAUCCUCUUUGCACAAAGACAAAUGGGCUUGUGUAUACUGAUAAGGGAACACACUAACCUUUAUUUAUUUAUUUUUUUUUUGAGGAUACAGGGUCUUGCUUUGUUUCCCAGGCAGGACUGGCAGUGGCUUUUCCCAGGUAUGAUCACAGCACACUGCAACCUCCACCUCCUGGCCUCAAGUGAUCUUCCUACCUCAGCCCUGGGAGUAGCUGGGACUACAGUGUAUGCCAUUGCGCCCAGCUUCUACUAACUUUUGAUGCAUAGACAGAUAUGAGGGGCUGGGGAACAUAAGAACCAGGCCUUGUGACUUCCAGAGAAGGCCGUUGUCUUGGUGUAAGAUAUUAGUUGUCCUUGAGGUAAAUUUGGCUUCACGGGCUUGUGACCUGUACAGUGACACGGGGCCCCAGGUCAGAAGGGCCUUGAACCUGGGUUAGUGCUCUGCUGCUGCUGACACUAUCUGGAAAUUCUUGAUAAUUUUCUCUUUCAGCUUCUGCUUAAGCAUGCAGGUGAGAAGGGAAGAUACAUGUAAUCUGCAUGUCUGCCACCAUUCCUUGUUACCCUUUUUCAUAUCCCAUGAGCACAGCACUCCAGCGGACCUACCCAAAAUAUGUGGGAGUUCAGUGAAACUCAAAGUAAGUGCAAAGUGGUCACGUUAUGGGAGCCACUGGCUUUCACAGAGUGUUGGGAGAAUGUGUAUGCAACAAGAAGUAAAAUAAAAAAGUUAAGUUGGGUUUUCGCAGCGUUUUCACACUUCCAAUAAGAACAAAAUAUAUAUGCAUGCAUGAGCCACGAAAUAGAAAUUGAGUAAUUGCAAUGAUCCCAAAUAUGAAUUAAAUAUUCUAUUUUCAUUUAAAACUAAUGUUUUAAAAUAUAGAAAGUAAAAUUCAUGAUAAUUUAAGUUUUUAAUUUGCCUUUACUUAGAACAGCAUUAAAUAGCAAGCAAAUAAAAAAAUACCAUCUCAAGUAGAGAGACUGUGGAAGAAAAGAAAAGGCUUAAUAUUUCAGUACUUUUAUUGGCACAUUUUCCUUGCUUUUUGAGCAAGGGGAGCCAACAUUUUCAUUUUGCACUGAGCCCCACAAAUUAUGUAUCUGGCACUGCCUUGAGGGAUGGGAGGAGCAGGGAACCGUUGGUGUCUGUGACCUGAGCCGUCUAAGGUGAGAUUUACCUCAGGUUUCCAGUAACUGGAAAUAAUACAAAUACAAUGUCCGCAGAGGCACGCUGGUUCCUCAGCAGCUGAGGAAUGUGCUUAUUUGUGACAGAAAGUGGCAUUUGUUUCCUUCUUACUGCUUGUUUAUCCCAUUCGCGCUCGCGCGUGUGUGUAUAUGUGUGUGUGUGUGUGUGUGUGUGUGUGCGCGUGAAAUUCCCCCCAAAACCCUCUUCUUCCACUGAGAAAAGUGAGGGGAAGGAAAAGGGUGCUGCUUACAGAAAGGGGAUGGAAAUGGUCCACCUGUAGGAUGCAGGAUACUCAGAGGUGAGUUUGGAUGGAACUGCAGGCUGCUCAGAGGUGAGUUUGGAUAGGGAUGCAGGCUGCUCAGGGGUGAGUUCGGAUGGGAUGCAGACUGCUCAGAAGUGAGUUUGGAUGGGGAUGCAGGCUGCUCAGAGGUGAUUUUGGAUGGGACUACAGGCUGGGCUCAGGGUGGGGGGUUUCUUCGGAAGCCCAGGCUGUCUUGUGGAAAAGACAAAACCCUACCUUUCUUAUCAUGCUUGUGCAAUGUAGGGCAGGCAGCUGCCUUCCAAACAAUGGCUCCGAUGCAGUUCCUUGCAUCAUAUAGCCAGACUUCCGAAGUCCUUCACUCCUGCCACAUCCAUGCCGCCCACUUUCUAUUGGACAGAUUUCAUCACAUGGCUCCAGCUAAACACAAAAGUAGCUGGGAAAAAGAGUUUUUUCACUCACCCAGGGGAAAAUGAGAAGGUUUGGCAAACACAUAGCACUGUAUCUGUCACCGAGGAGAUGGGGUGAGGAGGGAAGGGCCACGAGGGAGAUGGGGGAGGCUGGUCUGGUUUGAAAGGCAAGCAGUCUGUGGUGGGCAGUUUUCUGAAGGGGAAGUGCAUUCUGUAGUGACCCUUUCAGCUCCAGGCACAUGAGGAGACUUAGAGGAGGGGACAUUAAGCAAAAAUCCCAGGUGUUAUGUCAGUGGUGGGCCUGGGGGCGCCUACCUGCAUAUAGUGGACAACUCUGGUGAGAACACUGUGUCGAUCUGAUGGUUUUUUUGGAUCCAGUGAAACGACUAGGAGUUGAAGACUUGCCCACACAGUCAAUGGAAAAGAGGAGAGAGAAUUCAGCUCCCUAUGCGAGGCUUGUGGGGCAGGAAGGCUUCUUAUGAGAUAGAGCUGCAUCCUUCCUUCUGCGAGAGCAAGCCUGAACCUAUGUUUGCAGCAGACUUAAGGAGAGUGGUCCUCAGAGGGGUCAGAGCAAGCAUGCUUCUGGUCAGCCUAUACAGUCUCUGUCCUGGUGAGGAGCAUGAUCACCAACAGGCAAGAUCUUCUGGCCUUGAAGUUUCGCUUGAGUUAAAAGAGCUCAUCUCAGGUAAGUAACAGGCCAAGAAUGGUGGGCACCGUGACCACUAGCCAACUUGCAAUCCAUUCUACUCCAAAGGACCGGGCUGAAAGAGCAAGAAAACCCUAUAUGCUUAGGUAUCUUUAUCUUGACUAAUGUAUUGAGAAGGGGCAAGUGUACUGGACACUGGUGUGGGAGCUCACAGAGCAGGGAAAUUAAUUUCUUCCCUGAAUCCCAUCCUAUUUGGCUGGGACAUUCUUUUCCUCAAUCUCCCCAAACAUAAAGUAUAAAAAAUGCAGAAAUUCCUUAAAUAUCACUGGCUUACCUGGGCCCUGUGCUCAAAGGUUACCUCGACAUAUCUGUGGCCUGGGAAAGCAUUGCUCCCCUACUCUGGACAUCAACGAGGUAGGGUAGAUCUUCAGGUACAGACAGAUGACCACAUGAUACAAUGCACAGCUGACUUUAGAGAGAAAAGGACCACUUCCUUUCCUUGUUUCUCUACCCCACUAAGUAUCUGCACCAACUAGGAAGAAGAAGGGAAGAGAAAGGAAGACAGAAAAGGAAAGGAAAAGAAAAAGGAUGGAAGGAAAGCUUAGAUGCUGGGGUGGGGAAGGGCUGAGCUGGAGAAAAUAAAAAAAAGGAAUGAGUGAUACAGUAGGGAAAGGAGUUUGAGGGGGCUUUCUAGGAUAAUUUCGGUGACUAAAAAGUGACAGAUGGGUUUACCCUUCCAAAAAAAAUGGAUUUAUUAUUGCUUUUAUCCUCUCUUCGGAUGAACAGUCACACCCAUUUUAUAGAGGACAGGGAAUGUGCGUCUUCCUUUUUCUGGAUCUCAGGAUGUGAUAUUGAUAUGAGGGUGGUGUUGGAACCACCAGCCAAAUUGUGUUCUCAUGGUCAGAUACCACACUGUCACAGUGGGUCUGUGGUGGCAGAAGAGCAAGGCAUAUCAGGAGAGGCUGGUAGAGACAGGGCCAAUUAGUUAGGAAGAAUAAGGAAGAGCAUACACAGUCUCCGUAGUCCACAUGUGGGAGUAGAGAUAAAGAAAUCAGUGCAGUUAAGGAGGGUAGACAGAGCCCAGGAAGACCACAAAACAGCAACGUUCUCAGAGGCCAGAAUCCCUGAUGACUGGGCAUGACAGGGGUCACAGGUGAAUGUGAGCACCUCAGGUCUGAGUUAUUCUAGAAGAAUGUGUACGCUAGGGCUCAGGGAUCUGACUUCAGGAUUGUGGAGGGUAUCUGACUCUGGUAUUUCCCAGAGUGCUGGAGAUAUUGAUCCAAGUUUAUUAAGGGUCCCCAAAACUCUAAGAGACUGCGUCUCAUUUAGCUCCCGCUUACUAAGGACUUGUCAGCCACUGUGAUAGGCAGUUACGUGUCUUGUCUCAUUGAAUCCUUAGCACGAGAUAGGAACUGUUAUUUUGUCCUUUAUUUAGGAAGAACAUGACUUGGGGAAGCUAAGUAACUUGUUUAGCUAGUAAGUGACAGUCCUAGAAGUGACCCCAGGUAUGACUGACUCUAAAACCCAUGGCCUUAGCUGUCCCAUGCUAGCACCAGUGUAGGCCUGAUCUAGAGCCAGGUGUGACACUCAUGAGUGGAUCCUCCCAGGAGACAGGGGAAUCUGGCUUCCUAAGUUCAUCUAGGAACAUCAGGCUGGGGAGGAGAAGCUUCGCCUGAGGCUCAGGCUCUCACGCCUCCUCGACGGCCUCUCUCAGGCCCGUCUCCUCAGUCCCUCUUUCCCUGGCUGACUUUGGCGGUCUAAUGACCUCGGUCCCUCUUUCCUUGGCUGACUUCGGCUGUCUAAUGAAGCCCCUCUAGACAGCUGCUCGCCCACUUGCCCUUCCUUCUCCCUGCUCACCCUGAUGUUUCAGUCUACUCUAUGAUGACCCUGGCCUCAGAUGUUAGGACUAUGCUUUGUUAGAGCGGGAGAGGGAAGAGGAGUAUCAGAGAUCUCUCCCAAACGUCCUUUGCAGGUGAGAACACUGAGCCCCCACGAAGUUGAGGUAAGCUGGCUGGGAGGUGGUGGUAGAGCUGGUGGCAGAACCCACGUCUCCCAGCUCUCCCAGACACCUUAGGGAUUCACCACCACACUGUGCAAGGAGGCUGAAUAGGACCCCCAGCCUUUCUUUGUUCAAAACAACUCCAGUUACCCUGUGCCCCCCUCAGCUCCCAGGGAUCCUUCUUACCCAGGGUACAGGGUGGACUGAGGCAGACCGUGCCAUUCUUGCUGCUCACAGAAUUGCUGACUUGGCAAGUAUAACACCUGGAGUAAUUAUGUGGCAUAAGGGUGGUUUCAAGCACACUGUUCUGGAGCUCCUUUGGGAAGGGCCUUUUGUCCCCAUACCAGGUGUAGUUUACAGACUCGCCAGGUAUCACACAUGACAGUUUCAGAUAACAGUUGUCAUCCAUGUCUUCUAUCUUCUCAAUUUUGAUGACAGGCUUGGGUACAGGGUCUGAAAGUGAGGAGGAUGUUAUAAGAUGAGACAGUGAGGCAUUCAUGCUGUGAAGGUUUAGCCAACAAAGAACAAAGGGAUCCAGGGAAGGGGCCUGAAUGCCCCAGGAGGCAGAGUCAUGAAGAAGAAGUUCUACAGAGGGAGCCAGUGAGCAGCCUUGACCUCCUGAGGCCUCACAGACUCACUGCAAGAGCGGCUUCUAGGCAGUGAAGCUAAGCUGCGUCCUGGAGGGGGCGCCACAGUCCAUCAUAUGCUCUGGGAACAAAAUGGGGUUAUGAUCGUGUGUGAGCCUGAACGAACAGCCCAGAGACUUGCUGGGGUCAGACUUAGUAUAUCAACUGCCUGAGAUGCUCAGGGACCCUUCUCUAGCAACGGUUCAUGGCGGGCACCUUGGCUGGUCUGUCUUUCCAAUUAUCGGAUUCAGCUUCAGCAAGAGUCCUAAGGUAAGAGGUACCUGUCUGCGCGUGGCAAAGUCCUUUGCACAACCAUCCAGUGCAGGUGCCAGCCUUCUAGACUCUGGCAGAGCUACAGAGAAGAACUUCAUGUAACUUCCAGCCGCAUCAAUUGUGAUAAACAGAUUGGUCUGCUAACUUUGGUAUCUCCAUGUCUAGCACAAUCCCUGCCACAUGGCAGGUAUUCUAUAAGUAUCUCAUGAAAGGAUGAAUGAAGUAGUUAUGAGAUAGAAAGGAUAAAACACAGCCGGGUGCAGCGGCUCACACCUGUAAUCUCAGCAAUUUGGGAGGCUGAGGCAGGAGGAUUGCUUGCAGCCAGGAGUUAAGAGACCAGCCUGGGCAACAUUGAGAGACUCAGUUUCUAAAAAAAAAAAAGAAAGAAAAGAAAAGAAAAGUAGCCAGGUGUGGUGGUGUGCACUUUUAGUCCCUGCUACUCAGGAGGCUGAGGUAGGAGGAUUGCUGGAGCCCAGGAGUUCCAGGGUGCAAUAAACUAUGAUUAUACCACUGCACUCCAGCUUGGGUAAGGAGAAGACCUUCAAAAAAAAAAAAAAAAGAAGAAAGAAAGGAAGAAAGAGAGAGAGAAGGGAAGAGAAGAGAGGAAAAAGAAAAAGAAGGGAGGGAGGGAGGGAGGGAGGCAAGUAGACACAAAAACACUAGUUUUGGAGUGAGACCAGCCUGGGUCCUGGACUUGACUCUAGUGGAGUGACAUUAGGCAAGGUAGUUAACCCCCUUGCUGUCAUCUGUAAACUGACUCUACCUCAUCGCGCAAUGUUAGUAAGAUAAAACGUCACCUGUCAUGGAUAAUUGCUUUUUGAAGAGUGUAAGUAUUGCAUACAUUCUAGAGGCCAUUUUACCAUUAUUACUGUUGUACUGCUGCCGGAGAGAAUGAGAGAUAGUCCCAGCAUCUGGUCCUUCCUUGGCUAAGGCCGGUUUACCUGCAAUCCUCUGAGAUCUUUUCAUUCUGGUCAGGGUGAAACAUCUGCAGAAUCAAUGCAACUCAAAUCCCAUAAGAUUAAAAAUUGGCAGAGAAUUGACCAGAUCAGAGCUUGCCUCUUGGUUGUAUGUGUGGAGAGGCUCUAGAAGCUCUACCAAUCUGGUCUCUAGAACUCUAGUUUUGUCUCCUCUGUGAAGCUGAUCUCAGAUCGCUAAAAGAUUGCUCAGACUACAGAGGUGAUAAAAGUUUCCUGGACUUCCCCUAUAUGUUUUAAUUGAGCAAUUUUUAUCCUGGUUUUCACCAUUUCCUGUGUUCUAGCCUCAUAUCUUACACUCCUUCUGCAUUUCCCAUGGUGAUCAGCACAGCACUGGGCACUUUGCUGAUGGAAUUAAUUGAGCCAGCUUGGGUUGUCCAGCUCCAAGAUGCUCGCUUUGAGCUGUCAGAAAUGCUUGGGCUGGACCAGAGGACCAUUUUUUCUGCUAAUCACUUCCUGGAAAUCUUACCCUCAGGCAGGAUGUGCUGAAGCCCAAGCCAGUUUGUGGAUUUUUAAGUACUCAGAAAUUUUGCAAGCUUUUUGUGAAACCAUUAGUUUAUUGAAAUCAACUGUGGUAGCAGUAUUUAAACCACAGAAAUUACAAAGUUGGUAAAUGCUACGCUUUAGGGCUUUUUUUUUUUUUUUUAAAUCUUGU